GAGGGUGUAGCUCAAGCGGUAGAGCACAUGCCUAGCAUGCCUGAGGCCCUGGCUUCAAAUCCCUAGCACCUCCG
rnacentral:tRNA from 1 species